rnacentral:rRNA from 1 species
AUUGAACGCUGGCGGCAUGCUUUACACAUGCAAGUCGAACGGCAGCGGGGGCUUCGGCCCGCCGGCGAGUGGCGAACGGGUGAGUAAUGCAUCGGAACGUGCCCAGUCGUGGGGGAUAACACAUCGAAAGAUGUGCUAAUACCGCAUACGUCCUGAGGGAGAAAGCGGGGGAUCUUCGGACCUCGCGCGAUUGGAGCGGCCGAUGUCGGAUUAGCUAGUUGGUGGGGUAAAAGCCCACCAAGGCGACAAUCCGUAGCGGGUCUGAGAGGAUGAUCCGCCACACUGGGACUGAGACACGGCCCAGACUCCUACGGGAGGCAGCAGUGAGGAAUAUUGGUCAAUGGGCGAGAGCCUGAACCAGCCAAGUCGCGUGCAGGAAGAAUGUCCUAUGGAUUGUAAACUGCUUUUGCAGGGGAAUAAAGUGAGCCACGUGUGGUUUUUGUAUGUACUCUGCGAAUAAGGAUCGGCUAACUCCGUGCC